CCUACGGGAGGCAGCAGUGGGGAAUAUUGCACAAUGGGGGAAACCCUGAUGCAGCGACGCCGCGUGAGUGAAGAAGUCUUUCGGGAUGUAAAGCUCUUUCAGCAGGGAAGAAAAUGACGGUAUCUGAUCAAUAACCCCCGGCUAACUCCGGGCCAGCCGCCGCGGGCACACGUAGGGGGCAAGCUGUAUCCGGAUUGACUGGGUGUAAAGGGAGCGUAGACGGCAGCACAUGUCUGGCGUGAAAUGCCGGGGCUUAACCCCGGAACGGCUUUGGAAACUGGGCAGCUAGAGUGCAGGAGAGGGAGGUGGAAUUCCUAGUGUAGCGGGGAAAUGCGUAGAGAUUAGGAGGAAAACCAGUGGCGAAGGCGGCUUACUGGACUGUAACUGACGUUGAGGUUCGAAAGCGUGGGGAGCAAACAGGAUUAGAUACCCCAGUAGUC
rnacentral:rRNA from 1 species